rnacentral:rRNA from 1 species
UGAGGAAUAUUGGUCAAUGGACGCAAGUCUGAACCAGCCAUGCCGCGUGAAGGAUGAAGGCGUUCUGCGUUGUAAACUUCUUUUAUUGGGGAAGAAACCUGGAUUUUCUAAUCCAGCCGACGGUACCCAAGGAAUAAGCACCGGCUAACUCCGUGCCAGCAGCCGCGGUAAUACGGAGGGUGCAAGCGUUAUCCGGAUUUACUGGGUUUAAAGGGUGUGUAGGCGGACUUUUAAGUCAGCGGUGAAAUCUCCGGGCUCAACCCGGAAACUGCCAUUGAUACUAUUGGUCUUGAAUGUUGUUGAGGUGGGCGGAACGGGUCAUGUAGCGGUGAAAUGCAUAGAUAUGACCCGGAACACCGAUUGCGUAGGCAGCCCACUAAGCAACGAUUGACGCUGAGGCACGAAAGCGUGGGGAUCAAACAGGAUUAGAUACCCCCGUAGUCC